GACGAACGCUGGCGGCGUGCUUAACACAUGCAAGUCGAACGGAAAGGCCCUGCUUUUGUGGGGUGCUCGAGUGGCGAACGGGUGAGUAACACGUGAGUAACCUGCCCUUGACUUUGGGAUAACUUCAGGAAACUGGGGCUAAUACCGGAUAGGAGCUCCUGCUGCAUGGUGGGGGUUGGAAAGUUUCGGCGGUUGGGGAUGGACUCGCGGCUUAUCAGCUUGUUGGUGGGGUAGUGGCUUACCAAGGCUUUGACGGGUAGCCGGCCUGAGAGGGUGACCGGCCACAUUGGGCUGGGGUUCCGGCCAGGACUCUUCGGGGGGGAAGAGGUGGGAAUUAUUGAAAAAUGGGCGGAGGCUUGAGGCGGAACCCCCGGGGCCGGGAUGACGGCCUUCGGGUUGUAAACCGCUUUCGCCUGUGACGAGGCGUGGGGGCGGGUAUUGGGUAAAGAAGCACCGCUUAACUCGGU
rnacentral:rRNA from 1 species